rnacentral:rRNA from 1 species
GACGAACGCUGGCGGUGUGCUUAAUACAUGCAAGUCGAACGGAAAGGUCGUGCUUUGGUGGGGUGGUGGGGUGGAGAACGGGGGAGUAACACGUGGGUAACGUGCCACCGACUUUGGGAGAACUUCAGGAAACUGGGGCUAAUAGGGGAUAGGAGCAUCUGCUGCGGGGGGGGGGUCGGAAGGUUUGGGCGGUUGGGGGGGGACUCGCGGCUUAUCAGGCUGUCGGUGGGGGAGUGGCUUACCAAGGCAUUGACGGGUGGCCGGCCUGAGAGGGUGACCGGCCACACUGGGACUGAGAUACGGCCCAGACUCCUACGGGAGGCAGCAGUGGGGAAUAUUGCCCGAUGGGCGGAAGCCUGAUGCAGCAACGCCGCGUGCGGGAUAACGGCCUUCGGGUUGUAUACCGCUUUCGCCUGUGACGAAGCGUGAGUGACGGUAAUGGGUAAAGAAGCACCGGCUAACUACGUG